AAAAGGGAUCACGACCUCUUCUCCCCUUACCCAAGAGAGAAGCACACCUUCUCUCUUCUUUCUUACUCUCUUCUCCUCUCUCUCACUCUAGAUCAUCUCCAACACUUGCAGAUUUGUAAGCUUGGGAAAGCUUUUGAAGGUGGAGAGCAAGCUUCUUGAAGCAAGAUUCUUGAAGCAAGAAAGGGCUUGGAGAAGCUAGGGCAAAGAUGAGUUUUUAAAGUUUAUGGUUAGGAUUUUGGAUUUAACCCUAGAAAAUAAGUUUUUACAAAUCCUAGACAAAUCUAGAUUACAAAUUGUAGGAGUUUGUAAAGAGACUGGGUUUUUUAUUGUAGAUUUGGGAAAACCUUAGGUAAAAUUAGGAUUUUUGAAUUUAAAAAUGUAAAGCAACUACAUUUUGAAAUUGAGACCUCGCAUAACAACCGUCAAGCUUUUAACAAGCCAUGAUGGUACAAUUGAUGCCAAGGAAAGAUUGUUGACAUCAAAGAUUAGAGAAAAUAGUUGAAUUAAAUUUUAAAAACACUUGUUCUCCAAUAACUUAAACUUUCAUUUACAAGUAGCUUGUUUUUAAUGAUCUUUUAUGCUUUUUAAAUUCUCAGACCUUUUCUUUUCUUUUCUUUUCUUUUCUUUCUUAGCUUUGCAGACAUCGCUGUUUGCAAGUUUAGCUGCAGCAUCGGGUUUUUUUUUUUUUUUUAAACCAGCAUCGUUCCUUUUCUCCUAAAGGUUAAAUUCCUAACACAAUUUCUCCUCUGAUAACAAUGUUUAGUAAGCCACUGACAUAAUGAAUUUGCCGCAUACAAGUGAGUUGUAAAUGAAAAGCAUAUAAAUCAGGUUCCGAGUCCAAAGGAAAAUGUACUAGAAAAAUGAAAACUCAAGCACAUUUCUGAUGCAGAUAAGUGGAGCCACUUUGUUCAAUCUCUCCAACAGGUAAAAUUUCUGUCUCGGAGAUUCAAACUAGGCAUUAAUGGUGUAACAUUGUUGUGCCUCGCUGAGUUUAGAAUCCAUUACAGAUGGAUUGGUUAUACUUUCUAGCAGUUGGUGUUGUCGUCAUUAGGCUGGCUAUCUAUUCAGUAAACAGAGGCUGGAAUAAAACGUAGAAAAACGACGAAGGUGAGGCAGUAACCGUCCAAUACGAACAACUCACUGAAGAAAAUUCAACAACACAUCUAUUGUGAGCAGUGGAAAACUAUAUCAACUCUAUCCAUACGACAACUCAAAGCUGAUGCUGAAGUUUCAUAUGUGAUGUAACAAGUCAGCCAAGAAGCUAUAAAAAUUGUUGAUGAAAAUUCAAAAAUGCACAAAGUUUAUUAGAAACUAAAUCCAAAAAGUAUCUUAUUCAUUCAUUGCUAGGCUGUAUAUGGAGGAGCAUUUCUAGCAAAUUGUCAAUUUCUGUAGAACUAAAAAGAAAAAAAAAAAAAAAAAAAAAAAAAAAAAAAAAAAAAAAAAAA